AGAGUGAACGCUGGCGGCGUGCUUAACACAUGCAAGUCGAACGAGAACGGGUCAUAGCUUGCUAUGAUUGUCAGCUAAGUGGCGCACGGGUGAGUAAUAUAUAGUUAAUCUGCCCUAGAGAGAGGGAUAACAGUUGGAAACGGCUGCUAACACCUUAUAUGCCUUUAAGACAUAAGUCUGCAAGGGAAACAUUUAUGGCUCUAGGAUGAGACUGUACGGUAUCAGCUAGUUGGUGAGGUAAUGGCUCACCAAGGCAAUGACACCUAACUGGUUUGAGAGGAUGAUCAGUCACACUGGAACUGAGACACGGUCCAGACUCCUACGGUAGGCAGCAGUGGGGAAUAUUGCACAAUGGACGAAAGUCUGAUGCAGCAACGCCGCGUGGAGGAUGACACAUUUCGGUGCGUAAACUCCUUUUAUAUGGGAAGAUAAUGACGGUACCAUAUGAAUAAGCACCGGCUAACUCCGUGCCAGCAGCCGCGGUAAUACGGAGGGUGCAAGCGUUACUCGGAAUCACUGGGCGUAAAGAGCAUGUAGGCGGGUAGUUAAGUCAGAAGUGAAAUCCAAUAGCUCAACUAUUGAACUGCUUUUGAAACUGAUUACCUAGAAUAUGGGAGAGGUAGAUGGAAUUUCUGGUGUAGGGGUAAAAUCCGUAGAGAUCAGAAGGAAUACCGAUUGCGAAGGCGAUCUACUGGAACAUUAUUGACGCUGAGAUGCGAAAGCGUGGGGAGCAAACAGGAUUAGAUACCCUGGUAGUCCACGCCCUAAACGAUGCACACUAGUUGUUGCUAUGCUAGACAUAGCAGUAAUGCAGUUAACACAUUAAGUGUGCCGCCUGGGGAGUACGGUCGCAAGAUUA
rnacentral:rRNA from 1 species